UACGGAAGGCAGCAGUGGGGAAUAUUGCACAAUGGGCGUAAGCCUGAUGCAGCCAUGCCGCGUGUAUGAAAAAGGCCUUCGGGUUGUAAAGUACUUUCAGUCGUGAGGAAGGUGUUAAGGUUAAUAACCUUAGCAAUUGACGUUAGCGACAGAAGAAGCACCGGCUAACUCCGUGCCAGCAGCCGCGGUAAUACGGAGGGUGCGAGCGUUAAUCGGAAUUACUGGGCGUAAAGGGCACGCAGGCGGUUAAUUAAGUUGGAUGUGAAAUCCCCGGGCUUAACCUGGGAAUGGCAUUCAAGACUGGUUAGCUAGAGUCUUGUAGAGGGGGUAGAAUUCCAUGUGUAGCGGUGAAAUGCGUAGAGAUGUGGAGGAAUACCGGUGGCGAAGGCGGCCCCUGGACAAAGACUGACGCUCAUGUGCGAAAGCGUGGGGAGCAAACAGGGAUUUAGAUACCCGU
rnacentral:rRNA from 1 species